GCUUCGUCGUGUAGAGGUUAUCGCGUCUGCUUGUUUAGCUUCAACUCAAGUAAGUUUUGCGCGGAGGGCCUCGGUUCGAAUCCGAGUGGCAGCG